AUAAACAUAACUCCACUUAACUUUACAUUACAUUCUCUUACAAAUCAUUAUAUCAAUUUAUAAUACAUGUCCACACUAAAAGUACUAAGCUAAUACUAUUACAUAAGCAAAACCUUUACUCUUGAGACUUCCCGAUCAACCUCAAACCUGCAACACUGGGGUUAGGGGAGAGGGGUAAGCUAAAAAGCCCAGUGAGUAGAAACAAAGAAAACAGUUCAUUAAUUACAUGCUUUCAUGAAAUGCGUCACAGCACAAACAAAUCAUAUCACGGAUUGGACCUAACCCCAAAACAUCCCUUCCAGUCUCAGUAUGCCCGACCCGGCCGGGUCUCACAACCUUCG
rnacentral:lncRNA from 1 species